rnacentral:rRNA from 1 species
UACGGGGGGGGCAAGCGUUGUUCGGAAUUACUGGGCGUAAAGGGCUCGUAGGCGGCCAACUAAGUCGGACGUGAAAUCCCUCGGCUUAACUGAGGACGUGCGGAAGAAACUGCAAGGCUCGAGUCCGGGAGAGGGGGGUGGAAUUCCCAGUGUAGCGGUGAAAUGCGUAGAUAUUGGGAGGAACACCGGUGGCGAAGGCGGCCCCCUGGACCGGUACUGACGCUGAGGCGCGAAAGCGUGGGUAGCAAACGGG